GACACUAUGGCCGAGUGGUUAAGGCGACAGAUUCGAAUUACCUAAUUCGAUCAUCUGUUUCCCUCUGGGAGCGCAGGUUCAAAUCCUGCUGGUGUCG